UCUCCCUCGCCUUUCCUCGAUCUGUCCGCGCGCCCUUCAUUUCCCUCUUCUCUCGCUCUCCCUUCCUCGAUCUCUCCGCGCACCCUUCAUUUCCCUCUAUUUCCCUCUCUUCUCACUCUUCCUUCCUCAAUCUCUCUUCCAUCUCACUUCUCCAUCUCCCUUCCUCAAUCUCUCUCUCUCUCUCCCGUGCUUCUCCCUCUCCCUUCCUCAAUCUCCUUGAUUUCCCUCCCUCUCUCUCGAUGUCUCUCUCCCUCGUUCUCUUCGACGCACAAUUUCAUCAAUCUCUCUCCAACAGUUGAAGAUAAUAGAAGAAAUCAGAGGAGGAAGUCAAAGGGAUUGGUACCCUACUCUACCAACAGAAAGAAAGUGGAGAAGAAAAUCAAGGAAAUGGCCAAGAAGGUCAAUGACUCUGUGGGUAUAUUUUCCUUGCAAUUAUCAAGCAGCCACUAUUUUUUUUUUGUAGAUACCACUCUAGGCGUACUUUUCCAACCCUAAUUAGUUGGGAUAAGGCUUAGAUGAUGAUGAUGAAUCCAGGUACACUUUCUUGCAUGUAUGUUUCCUUCUUGUUGUGAUGUUGUCUUUAUUUUAUUUUAUUUUAUUUUUUUAAUAAAGGUAUUGGAACUCCCCAUGCUCCAUCCAAAGAAAUUUGUGAAGCCUGGCAUUGAUCCUCUGAAGGGGGUGCUCUACUAUCGUCUUCCAGGAACAAGCAAAACUUUACUAGC